rnacentral:rRNA from 1 species
UCCAGACUCCUACGGGAGGCAGCAGUGAGGAAUAUUGGUCAAUGGGCGCAAGCCUGAACCAGCCAAGUCGCGUGAGGGAAGACGGCCCUACGGGUUGUAAACCUCUUUUGCCGGGGAGCAAGCCUGAGCACGUGUGCCCAGGCGGAGAGUACCCGGAGAAAAAGCAUCGGCUAACUCCGUGCCAGCAGCCGCGGUAAUACGGAAGGUCCGGGCGUUAUCCGGAUUUAUUGGGUUUAAAGGGAGCGUAGGCCGGCUUUUAAGUCAGCUGUGAAAGUCCGCGGCUCAACCGUGGAAUUGCAGUUGAAACUGGAGGCCUUGAGUGCACACAGGGAUGCCGGAAUUCAUGGUGUAGCGGUGAAAUGCUUAGAUAUCAUGAAGAACUCCGAUCGCGAAGGCAAGUGUCCGGGGUGCAACUGACGCUGAGGCUCGAAAGUGCGGGUAUCAAACAGGAUUAGAUACCCCCGUACG